GACGGGGGGUGCAAGCGUUAUCCGGAAUCACUGGGCGUAAAGCGUCUGUAGGAGGUGAUGCAAGUCACUGGUGCAAAACUCUGGCUCAACCGGAGGAAAGCCAGCGAAACUGCAUGACUAGAGUGUGGGAGAGGUAGAAGGAAUUCCCUGAGUAGCGGUGAAAUGCGUAGAUACAGGGAAGAACACCGGAGGCGAAAGCGUUCUACUGGAACACAACUGACACUGAGAGGCGAAAGCUAGGGGAGCGAAUGGG
rnacentral:rRNA from 1 species